rnacentral:lncRNA from 1 species
CUUUUAUUUAUUAAUGCUCAAAUUCUUAAAUACUCAGUUAGAAAAAUGGCCUAUUUCAAAAGUAUAUGGGCAAGAGCAGCAAGCUUCCCAAAAGAGGAGCCUGAAACCUAAACCAACACCAUGACUGGGCAACAAGCCCACUCCUGGAGCCCACUCCUGGAGCUCAAUCAGUCACAUUCUUGUCUGAAAACAAAAGAACAGAGGUGAAAAUUCAAAUUCAUGUUGUAUCGUUCUCUAGCUCUUUUUGUCCUGGAAAGCCAGAGAGUUUCCAGACAUAACCUGGUUUCUGUUGCCUUUUAAUUUUAUAGAAAGCAAGAGUGAGGUAUGUCAAACUUCAGACAGCUGACUUGAUCAGAGAGCAUUUAUUAUUGGAAAUAACCACUUUAUCUCCUUAGAAUAAUUAAUAGUAGUAAUAACAGUAAUAGCUAGUAUUGAUAGAUCUUACCUUUCAGGUUUGCAUCUACAUGUGUGAUCUCAUUUGAUGAUUCUACUAUUAGCAAAGCCUUAAAAAACUUCCCCCCUCUUCUAUUGGGCAACCAAUUUUAGUGAUUUCAGAAUCAACAUUUGCCAUUUACAACUUCUAGUUCUUUCCAGUUAAAUGAUGCCAGGAUGAGUGAGGGUCACUGCCCAGCAGAGAUUUUUAGAUAACAGAAUUUAUGUAAUGAUCUCUAUGCUAUCUCAGUUGAUUCUUGCAACAAUCCAAUGAGAUAGGUGCCAUUAUUAUAGACAUUUUACAGAUGAAGAAACUGAGGCUGAGAGAGAGUAAGUGACAAGGUCACACAAAAAGUAAAUAUCUGAAGCUAGAUUCCAUUCACGUCUUCCUGGCUUCAAGAUUAAUAAUCUAUCCACCCUCUGUGCCAUCUUUGCUGCCCCUUGUUGAGAGACAAUAACCUGCUUCAAAUCUUGGCACUAUGAGAGGUGCUGGCUCCACCUGAGCAUGAUUAUUGUGACCUCACGUGUCCAGCAUUGGGGUAUUUUUAAGCCUCAUCUGACAUUUGGAACAUGGGGUGGAGGUGAGAGUGGGGAGGGGGGUGGCUGAGCCAGCCAUAGGAUUGACUCAGAAGAGUGUCACCUUUGGAGCCACCACCAUCCAACACCCACCUCAGGGAUUUUCUCUCCGAAUGUCGGUGUUUGCACCAGUUUCCUUGCUCUGCCAUGAUGAGGGAGCUUCCAAAUUCAGCCUCUGGUCUUUUGCUGGUGACAAACAGCUGAGGUUUUGUUUUCUUCAUCAGUCCAGAAAUUAAAGGCAGAGCAGAUAUUUCUUCCUCAAGUGGCAGCCAAUGAGAGGGAUUCGAUCUAGAUAAUCACAAUCCUGUCUUCAGGAAUGGAGAAGGUAAGCAUGCAGGAUUGAUCAAGAGUCUUGUUUUUAGUGGCAACCACUAGUGCCAGUUAAUGGAAGACUGAUGGAGAAGGGAAAAGGAGGAACCAG